rnacentral:rRNA from 1 species
AGUAUUCCACCUGGGGAGUACGCCGGCAACGGUGAAACUCAAAGGAAUUGACGGGGGCCCGCACAAGCGGAGGAACAUGUGGUUUAAUUCGAUGAUACGCGAGGAACCUUACCCGGGCUUAAAUUGCAGAUGAAUUACGGUGAAAGCCGUAAGCCGCAAGGCAUCUGUGAAGGUGCUGCAUGGUUGUCGUCAGCUCGUGCCGUGAGGUGUCGGCUUAAGUGCCAUAACGAGCGCAACCCUUGUUGUCAGUUACUAACAGGUUUCGCUGAGGACUCUGACAAGACUGCCAUCGUAAGAUGUGAGGAAGGUGGGGAUGACGUCAAAUCAGCACGGCCCUUACGUCCGGGGCUACACACGUGUUACAAUGGGGGGUACAGAGGGCCGCUACCACGCGAGUGGAUGCCAAUCCCAAAAACCUCUCUCAGUUCGGACUGGAGUCUGCAACCCGACUCCACGAAGCUGGAUUCGCUAGUAAUCGCGCAUCAGCCACGGCGCGGUGAAUACGUUCCCGGGCCUUGCACACACCGCCCGUC